rnacentral:rRNA from 1 species
CCUCAUAGUGGGGGAUAACAGUCGGAAACGACUGCUAAUACCGCAUAGGACAUAGGAUCACAUGAUCCAGUGAGGAAAGGUGGCGCAAGCUAUCGCUAAGAGAUGGACCCGCGGUGCAUUAGCUAGUUGGUAGGGUAAAGGCCUACCAAGGCGAUGAUGCAUAGCCGACCUGAGAGGGUGAUCGGCCACAUUGGGACUGAGACACGGCCCAA